rnacentral:rRNA from 1 species
UACGAGGGGGGGCAAAUGUUGUUCGGAAUCACUGGGCGUAAAGGGUGCGUAGGCGGGUCUUUAAGUUAGGGGUGAAAUCCUGGAGCUCAACUCCAGAACUGCCUUUGAUACUGAGGAUCUUGAGUUCGGGAGAGGUGAGUGGAACUGCGAGUGUAGAGGUGAAAUUCGUAGAUAUUCGCAAGAACACCAGUGGCGAAGGCGGCUCACUGGCCCGAUACUGAC